rnacentral:rRNA from 1 species
AACGAACGCUGGCGGCAUGCCUAACACAUGCAAGUCGAACGAGACCUUCGGGCCUAUUGGCGCACGGGUGCGUAACGCGUGGGAACCUGCCCUUAGGUUCGGAAUAACUCCCUGAAAGGUGUGCUAAUACCGGAUAAUGUCUUCCGACCAAAGAUGUAUCGCCUUUGGAUGGGCCCGCGUUGGAUUAGCUGGUUGGUAGUGUAAUAGCCUAGCAAGGAGACGAUCCAUAGCUGGUCUGAGAGGAGGACAAGCCACACUGGGACUGAGACACGGACCAGAAUGGGAGGGAAGGGAGCGGUGGGGAACAUUGGGGAAGGAGGGAAGGAGUGACCAAGCAAUGCGGGGGGAGAGAUGAAGGGGGUAGGGUUGUGAAGCUGUUUGAGACGAGACGAUAGUGACAGUACCGGGUGAAGAAGCACCGGCUAACUACGUG